UCAUCAGGUAGAAUAAUCCUUAUGUGUUCCUCUGUUCAGAGGACAGGAGAACAUGAUCCUUGGAGUUUGCAUGAUUUGUGAUUAACACUUGUAAUUGAUUAGGACUUGCAAUACCCUAAUCUGAUUGGUCUAAG